GGGGAUUUAGCUCAGUGGUAGAGCACUUGCCUAGCAAGCAUAAGGCCCUGGGUUCGGUCCCCAGCUCCA
rnacentral:tRNA from 1 species